rnacentral:rRNA from 1 species
AUUGAACGCUGGCGGCAUGCCUUACACAUGCAAGUCGAACGGUAACAGGUCUUCGGAUGCUGACGAGUGGCGAACGGGUGUGUAAUACAUCGGAACGUGCCUAGUAGUGGGGGAUAACUACUCGAAAGAGUGGCUAAUACCACAUGAGAUCUACGGAUGAAAGCAGGGGAUCGCAAGACCUUGUGCUACUAGAGCGGCCGAUGGCAGAUUAGGUAGUUGGUGGGAUAAAAGCUUACCAAGCCGACGAUCUGUAGCUGGUCUGAGAGGACGACUAACCACACUGGGACUGGGACACGGCCCAGACUCCGACGGGAGGCAGCAGUGGGGAAUUUUGGACAAUGGGCGAAAGCCUGAUCCAGCAAUGCCGCGUGCAGGAUGAAGGCCUUCGGGUUGUAAACUGCUUUUGUACGGAACGAAAAGCCCUGGGUUAAUACCCUGGGGUCGUGACGGUACCGUAAGAAUAAGCACCGGCUAACUACGUGCCAGCCGCCGCGGUAA